rnacentral:rRNA from 1 species
UACGGGGGGAGCAAGCGUUGUUCGGAUUUACUGGGCGUAAAGGGCGCGUAGGCGGUCGUGACAAGUCACUUGUGAAAUCUCCGGGCUUAACUCGGAACGGUCAAGUGAUACUGUCGGACUAGAGUCAGAAGGGGCAACUGGAAUUCUCGGUGUAGCGGUGAAAUGCGUAGAUAUCGAGAGGAACACCUGCGGCGAAGGCGGGUUGCUGGGCUGAUACUGACGCUGAGGCGCGAAAGCCAGGGGAGCGAACGGG